rnacentral:rRNA from 1 species
UGGGGAAUAUUGGACAAUGGGCGAAAGCCUGAUCCAGCCAUGCCGCGUGUGUGAAGAAGGUCUUCGGAUUGUAAAGCACUUUAAGUUGGGAGGAAGGGUUGUAGAUUAAUACUCUGCAAUUUUGACGUUACCGACAGAAUAAGCACCGGCUAACUCUGUGCCAGCAGCCGCGGUAAUACAGAGGGUGCAAGCGUUAAUCGGAAUUACUGGGCGUAAAGCGCGCGUAGGUGGUCAGUUAAGUUGGAUGUGAAAUCCCCGGGCUCAACCUGGGAACUGCAUUCAAAACUGACUGACUAGAGUAUGGUAGAGGGUGGUGGAAUUUCCUGUGUAGCGGUGAAAUGCGUAGAUAUAGGAAGGAACACCAGUGGCGAAGGCGACCACCUGGACUGAUACUGACACUGAGGUGCGAAAGCGUGGGGAGCAAACA